rnacentral:tRNA from 1 species
GCCCGGAUGGCGGAAUUGGUAGACGCGCACGUUUCAGGUGCGUGUAUCGAAAGAUGUGCAGGUUCAAGUCCUGUUCCGGGCACCA